CUCCAUGAAGUCGGAAUCGCUAGUAAUCGUGGAUCAGAAUGCCACGGUGAAUACGUUCCCGGGCCUUGUACACACCGCCCGUCACACCAUGGGAGUGGGUUGCAAAAGAAGUAGGUAGCUUAACCUUAGGGAGGGCGCUUACCACUUUGUGAUUCAUGACUGGGGUGAAGUCGUAACAAGGUAACCGUAGGGGAACCUGCGGUUGGAUCACCUCCUUACCUUAAAGAA
rnacentral:rRNA from 1 species